GCACCCAGUGAUUAUAAAAAGACGCGUUAUUCUGAGGACUUUUGAUGGAUGCCAGUUUUCUUUCUUUUCUCUGCCCUUAAUUUCACCACUUUUUUCAUCUUCUCUCCUCUCCUCUGUUCUAUAACUGACAUCUGGUCCGUUGACUGCGAUUAUGAGAGAUGAGGUUGC
ensembl:snoRNA SNORD97 Small nucleolar RNA SNORD97